rnacentral:rRNA from 1 species
GGGAAACAGGUUAAUAUUCCUGUACUCGGUGUUACUGCGAAGGGGGGACGGAGAAGGCUAUGUUGGCCGGGCGACGGUUGUCCCGGUUUAAGCAUGUAGGCGGAUGUUCCAGGUAAAUCCGGAACGUUACUAACGCUGAGGUGUGAUGACGAGGCACUACGGUGCUGAAGUGACAAAUGCCCUGCUUCCAGGAAAAGCCUCUAAGCAUCAGGUAACAUCAAAUCGUACCCCAAACCGACACAGGUGGUCAGGUAGAG